rnacentral:rRNA from 1 species
UACAGAGGGUGCGAGCGUUAAUCGGAAUUACUGGGCGUAAAGCGUGCGUAGGCGGCCCCGUAAGUCCGCUGUGAAAGUCAAAGGCUCAACCUUUGAAAGCCGGUGGAUACUGUGGGGCUAGAGUACGGAAGAGGCGAGUGGAAUUCCUGGUGUAGCGGUGGAAUGCGCAGAUAUCAGGAGGAACACCAAUAGCGAAGGCAGCUCGCUGGGACGUUACUGACGCUGAGGCGCGAAAGCGUGGGGAGCGAACAGG